AGAGGAAGAAAUCAGGACUCACACCAGAUUUUCUGUUUCUUCUGUACCAUUUAAAAUGUCUAGUAAUGAACUGAGCAUAUAGAAAGUGGUCAACAUAUUGUUGGCUAGCUUAUUAUUAAUGUUCCCUGGUUAGUUUAACUUGCUUCCAUCUCUAACCAGUGGAAACAGACUGGAGCCAUAACAAAACUAUGUGAAUCUUCUUCUUGAAGGUCCACUCAAAAUACAUACACUGGGAGGGCAUGAAGAGAGUGUGGCUAAUGAAGGGAUGGAUGAUUCCAGCAAAUGAUGCUAUGAUCUGUAAUGAGCUUAACACCUGGCAGAUAAUGCAAAUGGCACUGAAAAUUAGCUCAUUUUUGGCUUCCCCAUGUGCUAUUCAAUCAAAUAAAACGUGCAUUGAAAAUAAGUCCAAUUUUUUUUUUUUUUGUAUAUACACGUGUUUUGAAUCUGAGCUAUGGCUUAGUUCAGUGCACUUACUUAGAAAGUAAUUUCAUUAACUUGUUCCUCUCUUCUUGCUCCACCAUGAGAUGAGUUUUAUGGGUUCCAAGGGAGUUUUGAUUUUUACACUUACCUCUUGUUCAUGAACAGGUUUGCUUUUGGCCCCUAAUUUGCAAUGUGGUUAUUCCAUCCAGGCAUAAAUUUCUUUUCUCUCUGGCACUUUUUCACCUUUUAAAAAUGGGAAUGAUCCAUAUGGCUAAAGAAUGUCUGGAAGGGAAACAUUUGGGAAGAAUUAUAUGGGAUGCAGUCAUUCCGGAUCUUGAUCAUCUUAUUCAGUAAGAGCCAAGUAAGAGAACAGCCAUAGAGGGUUAUGAGCCAAAAGUUUAGAAUUCCAGUGUAUUUAGAGCAGAUAGGUGAUUUAAAUUGCGACAGUUACACAGCCCCACCAAGACUCAUGGUGAGAUACUUGAAAUGUCUGAGGAGGAAAAGAAAAUGAGGUUUUUGUUUUAUAUGAUAAUUUGUUUUAAAUAUUUCAUGUAUGGCCUAGAGAUAUUUUAAAGCCUUUCGUAGAAUGUUCUUAAACUUUAAAAUGGACUAAAAUAAUCCUUCCUAAAUUAUGGAUUAAACAAAUUAGAAUGGUAUGAAUGCCAAAACACAGUAAUUUGGAGAGUUUUGGUUGACAGUAGCAAUUUACCUUAAAUUCUUUUUUUUUUUUUUUGUCUUUUUGCUAAAUUCUUUUAAAGAACAAAACUGUGGUAUGUAAAGGGUCAGAGUCCAUAAGAGAACACACAGAUUUCUCUAAACAAGAAGUAUAAAGUGCAUGUAUACUCAAUCUUGGGCUUAGCAGUAUAGCAAAUUCUUUACGGUGGGAUGGGAUCAUCCUAGGAGUUGGUUCUCUUAGAGCUGCUGGGGCCAUAAGACCAGAAAGUGCAUAGCUUCUUUGAAAGGUAACAGAAUCACCUGAAGGUUUUUAUUGAUGCACUGUCAUUUCCCUAAAUAUUAUGAUGUUACCAGGCAUGCAGAGAGGUGAUUUUUUUUUAAGUUUACUUACAGAGGUGGAUCUUUAGUAAGCAUGGUAAAAAAGGAGCACUUUACCAGCUAUGACAGGCCAGUUUAAAACACAUGGUAGUUAAUGAGGUACAGAUUAAAAAAUACAGUUUGAAGAGGCAAGUAGCCAGUUUUCUUGCUAAUCAUGAUAUUGAAGCUCAGCCUGUCAUCCACAUUUAACUAGCCAUUCCUAAAAAUUCCUUCUUGCUACAGGGGAGUAGAUGACUGUUUAACUGGCAUUGAAUAAGAGCAUCUGCAAGGGGGUCUAGUUGAUAAUUGCCCUGUAGAACCAAUCAUGUCUUAGCUGACUGCCCUUGUAGUGUCUAUGUACCCAAACCAUAGUCAGAGUGUAUUUAUAUUAAAGGGUAGUAAGUAUUUUUAGUCUUUUUAGAGGUUGAAAUACAAUUAUGUAACUUUAAUAGUUGGGGAUGACAGAGGAAGGCUUUGGUUUAUAGAAGGACAAGCCCAGGUAUAAGAGACAGACUCCCCAGACCAUUCAGAGGAUCUUAGUUUUAGAUUCUGCUAUCCAUGUCUCAAUUAUUCACAAAAGAAUAGAGGGGAAACUAAGAACAGGAAUUUAAAACCACACAGGAUUACUGAGGUGAGAUGGUCACUUUAAAGGUAAUGCCAGCUCAAAAUACUGAGAUAAGAUUCAGUAGAAUAUGAUACAAAAUAAAUAUUUCUGGAGUUCCCGCUGUGAUGCAAUAGGAUUUUUGGCAUCUUGGGAGCACUAGGACACAAGUUUGAUCCCCAGCCUGGCACAGUAAGUUGGGGAUCCAGGAUUGCCCCAGCUAUGGCAUAGGUUGUGACUGCAACUCGGAUCUGUUUUUACUGUGGCUACUUUCCAGCUACAUACUCACUCACAAAAUUCCUGAGUAUUUAGCAACAGGCUUUUGCAAGCCAGUAAGAGUUGGGUCCAGCAUAUCACUGAAAGUUACUCUGAAAAUCUAAGGGAAGAGGUUGCACAAGGAAGCCUAUAGACACAUAGUGGAUUUUCGUGACCCUUCCUUGAUGGGGUGCAAGCACAGGCUCCAAUAUCUUAGAAAGAAUCUGUCAAUCAGGAGCAGCUUCUUUAAAUUCUAGAGCAAGGAGAUUAUUAAGCAGACUACCAAGACAUGGGUUUGGACACAAAAAAGUAAGCUGAAGAUAGGUAAUCAGAAUAAGGCCAAAAAUUAAAUCUUUGUGAUGAUAACAAAGUAGUCUUGCGAUAUAUAAUAUAUCAAGCAAUACAAAUUAUAAAUUAGACAUCAUAAAGGACCUUAUUAAUGAGGUGGAAAAUUCUCUUUGUAAAGGCACACCUCUGUACUAUAAAUUUUCCAUUUUUGUAAACAUGAAAUUAAUUAAAAAGGCAUAACUUCCAAAGAUGGCAAAAAUUAGUUUAUAUUCUAAAAGAAUUAAUUUUAUUUUUUGCUGUUAUUGGUGUAGCCACCAUUUGAAUUUUGCUUCCGGUUUUUAGUAUGAGCUUAUGACUUGGUCGUUAUUUGAUUUUUAUUUAAUUCUUUGCAAUAUGUUAACUUGUACAUAGCCAUUUUUAAUAUACCUCAGUGCCUCAUUAAUGUCAAAAUCCACAAAUAUUAUUUUUCAAAAAAAAUCUUGUGGUCAAUACUUUAUAUUAAGCACUUGUUUCUCCUCAUUUCUCUGUUAAUUUGGAGGGGAUAAAUAUCUUACCUUCUAUACAACAUAUAGUAUGAGAUUAUAUUUAUCAUGCUUUAUUAAAAAUCCUUGUAAAACAAGGAAAAACUGCAAUUAUGAUAAUUAUAUAAUUUUCCUAGAUUUUCAGAAUAUUAUUAUAUAGAAACUUGAGCCUUGCCCCUUUUGCCCAGGAAACUAGAGACAGAAAUCAAUUAUUGUAUGCCAGAAGUCCCAUGAGAAGAAACUAAGUAGGUGGAUAUUCCUUGGAAGAGAACAGUUCUGAAAGGAAUAAGAAUAGGAGAAAAAAAAAAAAAAACUGUGUUGCAUUCCUAUUUUUACUCAGGAUGACUUGAGCUGGAAACUAACAUGGAAAAGUAGGUUUCAGCAACCAGAGAGUUAGAAAUCAGAAAUGGCAGAUUUAUAGACUCCAAAAGUAGAUUUGUGAAUCAUUAAUUUAGAACUCUGAAUGUGUCUUUCCCACAACAGCAAUAUAGUUCAAAGUAAUAAUCAAAAAAUCCUAUCAUAGUCCUAAAACAGUUGAAAUUUAAAAGAUGGAAGUUCUGAGCCCAGGGUUCUGCUAAUUACUCCUAAAUAACUGGUGUUUGAACUCUGUUCCUAAGCUUUAUGUGCUGAAUCCAAAGAAGCCUUACAGUCUCAUUUACAUCAAAGUGUCUGGAGUAAACAAGGUAGAAGGUCCUUUUCUGAGGCACAUUUCCUGAUGAUCUAACAGAAGCUGUAUGUUGGAGUCCUAAAUCCUAAUGCCAGUUCUAUGACUUGCUAGUUGUGUAACCUUGUAGAAGUCAAUCCAUAUUCCUGAGUCUGUUUCUUGAUCUGUAAGAGAGGGAAAAUAAUAUCUAAUUCACAAAUUCACAGAUGGUCUAAAAGCUCCAACCUUCUGCCACCCCUUCCCCCAGGCUCCAGGUAGAACUUAAGUUCCAAAGAUUUAACAUUAUGGUGUGUUUUGCUUAUUGCUGCAUCUGCAGGACCUAAAAUAGGACUCUGCGUAAAGUUGUAUGAAAUACAUUUCUGUUGGUUAUAUUUAAUGGAUGGAUGCAUGAAUCAAAAGUGCCUCAUAAACAGCAGAUGCCCUUUAGUGUCAAUUCUCCCUUCUCCCACAAGCUAUGGCUAUUUAAGGAAGUAUAAGCCAAGGGUUAUCCUUUGAUACUAGAGGGCAGGAUACUUGUGGCUGUUUAUUGGAUGAGUCAUUUUUUAGCUGAGUCUCCUUGGCUGGGGCUGUUUGUAAAGGAAGUUAGGGCCCACCUACAAUACCAAUGUCCCCCUUUGAUCAUGAAUUGUAGGAUGGUUUCUGGCCAAAAUUCAUCAUGUUAUUUCUUAUGGUUUUUUUUUUUUGUUUGUUUGUUUGUUUUUGAUCAUCACUGUUAUUGCUUUAGAGUCUCUUCAGGUUAAUCUUUCUUUACAAUACUCCCAUGUUAAUGCCCUCAGUGUGAUAUUUCUGCUUAGCAAGGUUUAACAUGGUAGAAUGAGAACUGCCUGUAUGGUUAGCAGUCAGACCUGCAUAAUAGCCAUCUAAGGUUGAUUCAUCAAUUAUGCUGAAAUGUUUGUUUUUAAAAUGUCAGGUGUCCAGAUGGUGCCAUGGAUAUGGGGGUCAUUAAAAAGGCUUAGACCCACAGAGAGUCUUAAUAAAGAAAUGUUCUUGCCAGUUGUAAAAGUCUAUAACAAAGGCAAAUUUAGGGGAAAAAAAGGUUAUUAGGUUGAAGAUUGCUAAAAUGAAGUUGAAACAAGCAUCUUGAGAUGAAUUUAUUUAUUUAUGAUAUUUUUUUCCAUUUCUAGGUUUCCUCUUUCCAUUCCAGCCCAUAUUCAUCCAGGGUUCCCCACUCCCACCCCCAAAUUGUACAUUAAAAUUGCUUUGCCUAAUAGAGAAUUUAUGUUAACGAAGUCAACAAUGGGGCUGUUGCUAUUUGAGAUUUAUCUAAUCAAAGCAUUUACAGAGACCUGGGUGUUAGCAGGCCCACUGUUCCAAAAGGAUCUAGAGUGAUUCAUAACAUACCUCUACCCUAGAGCCAGUGGUAGAAUUUAAAAUAAUCAAUGAAGACAUCUACACUCUCAACCUUGCUGGACACAUCUCUUGCACAAAGCCAUUAUUAUAGAUCCUAAAAUUACACACAGAGACUCAAGUUAGCCAUAAAUUGGCAUUUGGCAAAAACACAAAUUAGCCACCAGCACUCUGGCAUAUAGUAUUGCUGUUCAGGAAAUGAAACCCAUUGAAAAAUUUACUCUGCUUCUCAGCUGCCUCAAACCUAGGAAAGCCAGGAUUUUUUUAAAUAAUUUGAGGAGGAUUUAUUUUUGUUUGGCUAUCAAUAUUCCACACCCUUAUUUCUCACCGUAUAGCUUAAUCUAUAAAUGUUAGCCAUCAUAAUAUGAAUCUAUCAUUUUUCUCAAAACUAACAAGAAUAUUUUGAAUAUAUUUUUCUUGUCUCUGGAGAAUCUACAAGUUCUGGUUCAUAAGCAAAUUAGGAAUAUCAAUUACAUAGCACUGUCAAAAUACUCCCAGCCAUGUUAACACAUCUGAAGAGGAAAUAAUUCCAUUGUUCGUUUAUUGUGUAUUCAGUUUUUAUCUAUAACAGUGAAAAGUAAAAAGAUGGUAUAAAUGUUCAAAUAGAAAAAUUGUUAUGGCUAUAACAGCUCCUCCAAAUGGUAAAAUAUUAUGCAUCAAUUAAGCUUUUCCCCAAAU
rnacentral:lncRNA from 1 species